rnacentral:rRNA from 1 species
UACAGAGGGUGCAAGCGUUAAUCGGAAUCACUGGGCGUAAAGGGUGCGUAGGCGGGGCUUUAAGUCAGGGGGGAAAUCCUGGAGCUCAACUCCAGAACUGCCUUUGAUACUGAAGAUCUUGAGUUCGGGAGAGGUGAGUGGAACUGCGAGUGUAGAGGUGAAAUUCGUAGAUAUUCGCAAGAACACCAGUGGCGAAGGCGGCUCACUGGCCCGAUACUGACGCUGAGGCACGAAAGCGUGGGGAGCAAACAGG